UACGUAGGGGGCUAGCGUUGUCCGGAAUCAUUGGGCGUAAAGCGCGUGUAGGCGGUCCGGUAAGUCCGCUGUGAAAGUCGGGGGCUCAACCCUCGAAUGCCGGUGGAAACUGUCGGGCUAGAGUACGGAAGAGGCGAGUGGAAUUCCUGGUGUAGCGGUGAAAUGCGCAGAUAUCGGGAGGAACACCUAUGGCGAAGGCGACUCUUUGGUCUGUAACUGACGCUGAGGCGCGAAAGCGUGGGGAGCAAACAGG
rnacentral:rRNA from 1 species